UUGGAGGGCAGUCUGGUGCCAGCAGCCGCGGUAAUUCCAGCUCCAAUAGCGUAUAUUAAAGUUGUUGCAGUUAAAAAGCUCGUAGUUGAAUUUCGGGAUCAGAGUGUCGGUCGUGCCUCGGUACGCACUGGUAUUAUUGGUUCCUACCUUCUGAAGAACCGCGAUGUCAUUAAUUUGGUGUCGUGGGGAAUCAGGACUGUUACUUUGAAAAAAUUAGAGUGUUUAAAGCAGGCUUACGCUUGAAUACAUUAGCAUGGAAUAAUGAAAUAGGACGUUUGAUUCUAUUUUGUUGGUUUCUAGGAUUGACGUAAUGAUUAAUAGGGAUAGUUGGGGGCAUUAGUAUUCAAUUGUCAGAGGUGAAAUUCUUGGAUUUAUUGAAGACUAACUACUGCGAAAGCAUUUGCCAAGGAUGUUUUCAUUAAUCAAGAACGAAAGUUAGGGGAUCGAAGACGAUCAGAUACCGUCGUAGUCUUAACCAUAAACUAUGCCGACUAGGGAUCGGAUGAUGUUAAUUUUUUAAUGACUCAUUCGGCGCCUUACGGGAAAC
rnacentral:rRNA from 1 species